rnacentral:misc_RNA from 1 species
UUUUCUUUCACAACAGUCCAUGGUUGACAGUCCCCUCCACAAGGACUGCAAUCCAAGCGGGCUAUCAGGUGGAAGAGUUGUGAAUGACGAACAGAACAAUAGGACUGUGACCACUUCUUUGGAAUCAAAAUCAAUAGCCAAAGAAGAUGCCUGUAAAACUGAUCUUACAAGUGCCAUCCAUCAUUCUGGUUCAACUCAUCAAGAAAAGGCACUGAAUCCACCUACACUGUUAUCUUGUGGCACAAAUGUUGACACCAAUCAAUUCCCA